AGUGAACGCUGGCGGUAGGCCUAACACAUGCAAGUCGAACGGCAGCACAGUAAGAGCUUGCUCUUACGGGUGGCGAGUGGCGGACGGGUGAGGAAUACAUCGGAAUCUACUUUUUAGUGGGGGAUAACGUAGGGAAACUUACGCUAAUACCGCAUACGACCUACGGGUGAAAGCAGGGGAUCUUCGGGCCUUGCGCGAUUGAAUGAGCCGAUGUCGGAUUAGCUAGUUGGCGGGGUAAAGGCCCACCAAGGCGACGAUCCGUAGCUGGUCUGAGAGGAUGAUCAGCCACACUGGAACUGAGACACGGUCCAGACUCCUACGGGAGGCAGCAGUGGGGAAUAUUGGACAAUGGGCGCAAGCCUGAUCCAGCCAUACCGCGUGGGUGAAGAAGGCCUUCGGGUUGUAAAGCCCUUUUGUUGGGAAAGAAAAGCAGCAGGUUAAUACCCCGCUGUUCUGACGGUACCCAAAGAAUAAGCACCGGCUAACUUCGUG
rnacentral:rRNA from 1 species